AAGUCGUAACAAGGUUUCCGUAGGUGAACCUGCGGAAGGAUCAUUACAGUGUUCAGGCUUCGGCCUCAUUCACACCCCUUGUUGAACCUCUGGUUUCUUUGGCGAUGUCAUGGACUCGUCAGACUUUAACUCUGAUAAUGCGAUACUGUCCGAGUGAGAUUGAAUUAUUAAAACUUUCAACAACGGAUCUCUUGGUUCCA
rnacentral:misc_RNA from 1 species